rnacentral:rRNA from 1 species
CCGAAGCUGCGGCAUCAGGCGUAUCACACAUACGCCUUACGAUUAACACCUUGCGAAGCAAGGUGGUCAAGCGACUUACACGUUGAGGUGUGAGCAGGAGGGAUAAUCGAAGAGAGGAAUAUGUGUGAUACGUCUGUUGGGUAGGGGAGCGUUGUGUAAGCUGAAGAAGGUGGUUCGAGAGGGCUGCUGGAGGUAUCACAAGUGCGAAUGCUGACAUAAGUAACGAUAAAGCGGGUGAAAGGCCCGCUCGCCGGAAGACCAAGGUUUCCUGUCCAACGUUAAUCGGGGCAGGGUGAGUCGGCCCCUAAGGCGAGGCUGAGAAGCGUAGUCGAUGGGAAAUGGGUUAAUAUUCCCAUACUUGGAUAAACUGCGAUGUGGGGACGGAGCAGGUUAGGUUAGCGUACGGAUGGAAGAGUACGUUUAAGUUGGUAGGUGGGGUGUUUAGGCAAAUCCGGGCACCUGAUAACACUGAGAGAUGAUGACGAGGCACCAAGGUGCUGAAGUAACUGAUACCCAACUUCCAGGAAAAGCCACUAAGCUUCAGGUUUAUCUAAACCGUACUGGAAACCGACACAGGUGGUCAGGUAGAGAAUACUAAGGCGCUUGAGAGAACUCGGGUGAAGGAACUAGGCAAAAUAGCACCGUAACUUCGGGAGAAGGUGCGCUGGCGUAGUGUGAAGUUCUUCGCGAAUGGAGCAUGAACCAGUCGAAGCGACGAGCUGGCUGCAACUGUUUAAUAAAAACACAGCACUCUGCAAACACGAAAGUGGACGUAUAGGGUGUGAUGCCUGCCCGGUGCUGGAAGGUUAAUUGAUGGUGUCAUCGAAAGAGAAGCACCUGAUCGAAGCCCCAGUAAACGGCGGCCGUAACUAUAACGGUCCUAAGGUAGCGAAAUUCCUUGUCGGGUAAGUUCCGACCUGCACGAAUGGCAUAAUGAUGGCCAGGCUGUCUCCACCCGAGACUCAGUGAAAUUGAAAUCGCCGUGAAGAUGCGGUGUACCCGCGGCUAGACGGAAAGACCCCGUGAACCUUUACUAUAGCUUGACACUGAACCUUGAAUUUUAAUGUGUAGGAUAGGUGGGAGACUAAGAAGCGGUAACGCCAGUUAUCGUGGAGUCGAUGUUGAAAUACCACCCUUUAACGUUUGAUGUUCUAACGAGGCGCCUGGAACGGGUGUUCGGACAGUGUCUGGUGGGUAGUUUGACUGGGGCGGUCUCCUCCCAAAGCGUAACGGAGGAGCACGAAGGUUGGCUAAUGACGGUCGGACAUCGUCAGGUUAGUGCAAUGGUAGAAGCCAGCUUAACUGCGAGACGGACAAGUCGAGCAGGUACGAAAGUAGGUCAUAGUGAUCCGGUGGUUCUGAAUGGAAGGGCCAUCGCUCAACGGAUAAAAGGUACUCCGGGGAUAACAGGCUGAUACCGCCCAAGAGUUCAUAUCGACGGCGGUGUUUGGCACCUCGAUGUCGGCUCAUCACAUCCUGGGGCUGAAGUAGGUCCCAAGGGUAUGGCUGUUCGCCAUUUAAAGUGGUACGCGAGCUGGGUUUAGAACGUCGUGAGACAGUUCGGUCCCUAUCUGCCGUGGGCGUUGGAGGAUUGAGGGGGGUUGCUCCUAGUACGAGAGGACCGGAGUGAACGCACCGCUGGUGUUCCAGUUGUUUCGCCAGAAGCAU